AGUGAACGCUGGCGGUAGGCCUAACACAUGCAAGUCGAACGGCAGCACAGUAGGAGCUUGCUCUUACGGGUGGCGAGUGGCGGACGGGUGAGGAAUACAUCGGAAUCUACUUUUUCGUGGGGGAUAACGUAGGGAAACUUACGCUAAUACCGCAUACGACCUACGGGUGAAAGCAGGGGAUCUUCGGACCUUGCGCGAUUGAAUGAGCCGAUGUCGGAUUAGCUAGUUGGCGGGGUAAAGGCCCACCAAGGCGACGAUCCGUAGCUGGUCUGAGAGGAUGAUCAGCCACACUGGAACUGAGACACGGUCCAGACUCCUACGGGAGGCAGCAGUGGGGAAUAUUGGACAAUGGGCGCAAGCCUGAUCCAGCCAUACCGCGUGGGUGAAGAAGGCCUUCGGGUUGUAAAGCCCUUUUGUUGGGAAAGAAAAGCAGCAGGUUAAUACCCCGCUGUUCUGACGGUACCCAAAGAAUAAGCACCGGCUAACUUCGG
rnacentral:rRNA from 1 species